rnacentral:rRNA from 1 species
CUAGUAACGGCCGCCAGUGUGCUGGAAUUCGCCCUUCAGGCCUAACACAUGCAAGUCGAGGGGCAUCGGGAUUGAAGCUUGCUUCAAUUGCCGGCGACCGGCGCACGGGUGCGUAACGCGUAUGUAACCUACCUAUAACAGGGGCAUAACACUGAGAAAUUGGUACUAAUUCCCCAUAAUAUUCGGAGAGGCAUCUCUCCGGGUUGAAAACUCCGGUGGUUAUAGAUGGACAUGCGUUGUAUUAGCUGGUUGGUGAGGUAACGGCUCACCAAGGCAACGAUACAUAGGGGGACUGAGAGGUUAACCCCCCCACACUGGUACUGAGACACGGACCAGACUCCUACGGGAGGCAGCAGUGAGGAAUAUUGGUCAAUGGACGCAAGUCUGAACCAGCCAUGCCGCGUGCAGGAAGACGGCUCUAUGAGUUGUAAACUGCUUUUGUACGAGGGUAAACUCACCUACGUGUAGGUGACUGAAAGUAUCGUACGAAUAAGGAUCGGCUAACUCCGUGCCAGCAGCCGCGGUAAUACGGAGGAUUCAAGCGUUAUCCGGAUUUAUUGGGUUUAAAGGGUGCGUAGGCGGUUUGAUAAGUUAGAGGUGAAAUCCCGGGGCUUAACUCCGGAACUGCCUCUAAUACUGUUAGACUAGAGAGUAGUUGCGGUAGGCGGAAUGUAUGGUGUAGCGGUGAAAUGCUUAGAGAUCAUACAGAACACCGAUUGCGAAGGCAGCUUACCAAACUAUAUCUGACGUUGAGGCACGAAAGCGUGGGGAGCAAACAGGAUUAGAUACCCUGGUAGUCCACGCAGUAAACGAUGAUAACUCGUUGUCGGCGAUACACAGUCGGUGACUAAGCGAAAGCGAUAAGUUAUCCACCUGGGGAGUACGUUCGCAAGAAUGAAACUCAAAGGAAUUGACGGGGGCCCGCACAAGCGGAGGAACAUGUGGUUUAAUUCGAUGAUACGCGAGGAACCUUACCCGGGCUUGAAAGUUACUGACGAUUCUGGAAACAGGAUUUCCCUUCGGGGCAGGAAACUAGGUGCUGCAUGGUUGUCGUCAGCUCGUGCCGUGAGGUGUCGGGUUAAGUCCCAUAACGAGCGCAACCCCUACCGUUAGUUGCCAUCAGGUCAAGCUGG